rnacentral:rRNA from 1 species
GAUGAACGCUGGCGGCGUGCCUAAUACAUGCAAGUCGAGCGAACAGACGUGGUACUUGUUCCUAUUACAUUAGCGGCGAACGGGUGAGUAACACGUGGAGAACCUACCUAUAAGCCUGGGACAACUUCGGGAAACCAGUGCUGAUACCGCAUAAUAACUUUAACCACAAGGUUUAAGAGUGAAAGACGGAUUUGCUGCACUCAAUGGUGAGAUCCCGUUCGCAUUAGCUGGUUGGUAAGGUAACGGCCUACAAAGCGAAGGUACCGAGGCCGACUUGAGAGGUUGACCGGCCACACUGGAACUGAGACACGGUCCAGAUUCCUACGGGAGGCAGCAGUAGGGAAUCUUCCGCAAUGGGCGAAAGCUUGCCGGACAAACGCCGCGUGAGUGAUGAAGGUUUUCGGAUCUUAAAACUCUGUUAUUAGGGAAGACCAAAUGUGUAAGUAACUAUGCACGUCUUGACGGUACCUAAUCAGAAAGCCACGGCUAACUACGUG